GCCCUUCUGGCUGCAGAGUCGUGCAGCCACCUCCGACCAGGAGAAAUCAGCAGAAAAGCCUGAUGAAGCAACGGCCGACGAGCCCCCACCACCACCUACGAGAAGAAGUGAGCGACCUCGCAAACUCUCGGUACCCUCUUACAAAGAGCCCAAUGUUAACAGGAAAAUGCGACGCCAGUGAUUGGCAGGACAGCACCUUCCAGAGUCCAGACGAUCAGC
rnacentral:lncRNA from 1 species